rnacentral:lncRNA from 1 species
UGCGUCAUACAUUAAACCUGGAAAAGGUGAAUGACACUUUUUGUUGUCCAUAUUGUAUUUUCCUAUUUCUUUAUUCCACCCCUUUUUGCUCUUCCCUAUUUUCUCCCUUUUUCUUUCAUUUUAGCCAUCAACCACCAUUUGUAUUAUCUUUCCUCCUCUCCCCCACUACUCCUUUACCUUGAACCACCAUCGUCACCACCGGACCUCCACAUUACCAUCAUUUUUCUCUUUUAUUUUCUCCACCAUCGUCCUUAACGCCGCCCUCUUUCACCUUGAUAACCAUUGCACACUAUCGCGCAACUUCUCCCUUUUUCUUAUUUUCUUUUCUCCUCUCAUUUCUACUCUUUUAAGAGAGUGACCGAAACAAUAUUCUUUCUUUUUCCUCUGCCGAA